UACAGAGGGUGCGAGCGCUAAUCGGAAUUACUGGGCGUAAAGCGCACGUAGGCGGCUUGGCAUGUCGGGUGUGAAAUCCCCGGGCUCAACCUGGGAACUGCAUCCGAAACUGCCUUGCUCGAGUAUGGGAGAGGGAAGUGGAAUUUCCGGUGUAGCGGUGAAAUGCGUAGAUAUCGGAAGGAACAUCAGUGGCGAAGGCGACUUCCUGGACCAAUACUGACGCUCAGGUGCGAAAGCGUGGGGAGCAAACAGG
rnacentral:rRNA from 1 species